CACUGAACUUGGUCUUGGCUUCAGUUCCACCCAGAGACAAAGUCCGUUUCCAGGCCAAUUUCCAUAUGAAAGCAGCUGAGAUCUCUUUCCCCAUUCUGGAAUUCCAGGCAGCACCCAGGGCUCUGACUUCUCAGACUCAAGAGUUUUUGCCCAACUUUCCCCCCUCAUCCCAACUCACCCCUAAUCUCCUCCCACUCCAGUUUCUCUGGCCACAGGAUUUCCACUUCUCCCAGCACAGUGUUGUGGCCCUGAGAGAGCGUCUGUGAACUCAACUCCAGAACAACUCGCUUCACGUUUCUCUGAGGAUGACGGUGAGGCCCGAGCCCUGCAGUUCGGAGGAGGCCCCCUUGGACUCUGCAGUUUUGCAGCUGACCCGGGACUACUGUCUGGCAGGGGAGGGCAAAGGAAGAGAAGAAGCACUUUUCUGAUGGGACAUUCGAUGAUGCUUCUUAGUGGGCGUGGCGCUUCCAUUCAAGUCCCCCAUCUCAGUCAGAGCUGGGGACUUGCAGUUUGUCCUUGCCUGACAGGGAUUCGAAGGGCCAAAUUGUUUCUAGAGAAUAAAACGGGCUGGGCUUGGAGAGAUAUGCAGCUUCGACCUGUGCUGCUUAGAACAUCCCCUCCUGGAACCCCGCGAUGCUGUGAGAAGCCCACACUACAUGGCGAGACCACAUGGGGGAAAACUGAGACACUCUGAUCAACAGCCCAGUGCUUCUCUCUGCUGACAGCCAGCAUUGAUGUCCAGCCAAGUAAGUGAGCCUUCUAGCAUGUUCCAACACAGUCAAGACUCCAGAUAACAGCAGCCUUUGCUAAUGCCACAUUGAACCAAAGAACCAUGCAGCUGAGCCUAGUCUUCCAGUUGGCACCACAAAAGCAUCAGAUAUGUGAGUGAGUCCUCUCAGAGGUACCAACCCAUCCAGUCUUCAGAUAACUGCAGCCCCAGCUGACAUCACAUGGAACAGAAGAACCACCCAGCUAAGCCCAGUCAAGCCAUAGAUUCAUGAGAGACAAUGAAUGCUUGUUGUUUUUAAGGCACACCAAUAUGGUGACUGAAAAAAUGAAUCAUUCAGGGAUUGAAUUAAGAUUGCAGUGUGAGUAGGGAAAUUGGAAAACAUCAGAAAAGUGUCAUCUCAAGUAUAUAUUAAUAAUUGAGAAGUGUGGGGGCCUAAUUCUUAGCCUAAUUGCAUAUUUUUAAAUCCCCUGAACUAAGAAAUGAACAUGAAAACUGGCCUAGUAGUGGUAAACCUCUAGAGUUCUGGGCUAACCAACACUGAGACCAUCCCAUCCUACAGGUCUGCCAGCAUGACCCUGGGAACACACGACACCCCACCACCCCUGAAGACAAUUCCUGCUGAUGACCUGAUGGGUGAGAAUUAUCACGCACACGAGGAGAUACGGUGUAUGACUUGCAGUACAUACAGCGAAGGAACAAAGACCACGGCCUUGAAUGAUAGGCAAUAAAGAAAGAAGAAAAGGACUUUAAAAUUUAUAUAUUUAAAAUAGUCAAAAGAUGAAGAAAGAAUUAAAUCCAUAAGGUAGUAAGGGGAUAUUAUGAAAAAAGAGCAAGAAUGGUUGAACAAAAAACGAAACUGAAAUUCUAGAAAUGAAAAGCAAUUGGAAUUUAAAAAGUCUCAUUGGAUGUACUAGACAGUAGACUACAUAUAUCUCACACACACACAAAGAAUUAGUGAAUCUGAAGCCAGAUCUGAGCACUUAAAAUACAGCACAAAGAGCUAACGAGAUACAAAAUAAAAAGGAGUUAAAAGACACAGUGGGCUAUACUGAGUAGUUCCAACACCGGUCUAACGGGGAUCCAAGGAAGAGAAUAUAAAGGGAAUGUGGUGGGUUGUACAAUUCGUCUAGAAACAAAUAUCUGAGUCCUUGAGUUGGAAAAUGAUUGAGUCCCAAAUAACAGCACUUGCUGCACAACUAAAUUAUGAGUUGAGAAUAUAUAUAUUAUUUAAAUGUAAUUGUAACUUUAUUAGAACUCAUUUUCAUAUCAUAUCUUUUGUAAUUUCCGCUAUCAACAAGGCUGGAUCUUUGGUCUAUCUUUCUUCAUUUUCUCUGGCCCUUUCCCCCAUAUCUGUGUCUUUCCUCACUGUGUUUUCCUUAUCAGGAAUGCCCAAGUCCAUCCCCAAGGCCGAGCAGAGCCCUACCACCUCCUGGAAGCCUCCUCUGACCUCCCGGGCAUUGUCUCUACUUUCUCUGAAAUUCUACAGCGUGAAGUCUGUUCACUUUUUUGGCUGUUAGUCCAUUGGCUUUUUAAUGAGCUCUUUGGGAGCUCUUUCAAGUUGAGGGCCUCACUUCAUAUUUCUCUGGGCUCCCCAGUGACUUAAUUUGUUCUCAAUAAAUGUUAGUCCGCUAAUUGAUGGCUAAACCUCUAAAGAUUUGUGAGAGUAAUUUUUGGGAAGAUCAAAG
rnacentral:lncRNA from 1 species